UUUACUGUAGAAGCCUUUAUUUUGUAAAAAGUUUGUUGUUUGAAUGAUAACCCUUUUUUACCACAUACUUGAACACCUUGUAUUUGUAGAAAACACAUUUUGUUCAAACACCUAAAAAAGCUGAUUGACACUAUAACAUUAAAUUGCACUGACAAAAAAAAUACAACUUCAUACCACACGAAUGCUGAUUCCAAGAGAACUGGUACUCCAAUUGAAAUCAAACACCUUAGUAAACAACGGAAUUAAAUAAGCGCCCAAUGUGAACAAAACAAUUACAGUACAAAAACCAAAUGCAUUUUUUUCUUCCAGCGCCAGUAUAUCUGAUGAUUUACAUUUCUUUCUCAUGAUAAAACAACAACAGUAAUAAUCCAACAAUCCAUAACAAAUGCAACAAAUACAAUAAAUCAGAAAUGAACAAAUUAAAUAAAUCACUUUUUUUUUGUUAAAAAAAAACAACAGGUUUUACUUUUGUGUUUUUCGAUCUUAAUCGCCAAAUUUCAUGUAAAGAAUCCGAACUUGAUUGGUCCCCAGGCUGCUGUCCUACUGUGGCUCUGGGGUCCACAGACCACAGACCACAGCAGCCGUCUGGGGCGAACCGGUCUGCAGGGACUCUGCUCCCUCCUGGCUCCGUGCUCUGAGCGGUGAAUCAUGUCAAAGCGUUACGCUGAACUCGACCAAACUACAGCGUUCACCUGCUGCUGUUACUCCAAACGGUCUAAAGCGAACCACACACAACCCGGAGACAGGCCUACACGCUGAGGGGGCUCCAGGGAGAAAGUUCUCCCAUCGAGAGGGUUCUACCAGUGAGAACAGAACGUUCUCCCAGUGAGAAGGUUCUCCGGUGAGAAGGUUCUGCGGUGAGAAGGUUCUCCAGUGAGAACGUUCUCCCAGUGAGAACGUUCUCCGGUGAGAAGGUUCUCCCAGUGAGAAGGUUCUCCCAGUGAGAAGGUUCUCCAGUGAGAAGGUCCUCCCAGUGAGAAGGUCCUCCCAGUGAGAACGUUCUCCCUGUGAGAACGUUCUCCGGUGAGAAGGUCCUCCCAGUGAGAAGGUUCUCCAGUGAGAAGGUUCUCCAGUGAGAACGUUCUCCGGUGAGAAUGUCCUCCCAGUGAGAAGGUUCUCUGGUGAGAAGGUUCUCCCAGCGGGGGCUGUCUGGGUCUCAUGUAAACACGGGGCGUGGAGGUCCUGGUUGUGGAGGUCCAACGCAGGAGGAAUAGAAAAAUAGGAAAAUGAAUCCUUCCCAAAACCCAGGUCAUGCAAAACAAACCCUUGAAUACGGAGCAUGGGGACGGCACAGGGCUGGCCCAGGGGGGGGCCGGGGAGCGGACCGGGGGGCGGAGGUCGGACCGGGGCUGACCCCCCAGGGUGACGCCCCAGGGGCUGUUUGGUGGCUCUGUGGAGGGCGGCGGACGGAGACGUAUGGCUUAGUGAGGCCGCUCCCACUUCCUGCUUCGCUCCGUCUGGGGGCGUGGCCCGCGUGCGUCUGGGGGCGUGGCCCGCGUCCACCGUCUGUCACCUAACCUACAAGGCACGAAGUCGCGACCUAUCUGUGAAACCUACGAACGACGCCGGGAGGUCAAAACAAGAUGGCGGCUCUAGACUAGUGACGGCUCGGGUCCUCGUUUCCACGACGACAGCUCUAAAGACGAACAGAGGUUUCCCGGGCCGCCGUGAAACACCGACGCUGAACCUCCCUAACACAGACAGAGUGAACAGUGUAACUUGUGUUACUAUUUACGAAAGCACUGUUCGUACGAAGUGCACGUCAAGUUCCACUCCUGGUGCGAGCGUCGUUUAUAUCUUUGGUUUGCCGCCACCGUUCCUCAGCCGGGUGGUUCCGGCUGCGUCGCCGCACAGGGCCGGUUGGGGUGUGACGGUCUCUGCUCUCUGCUACUGUUGGCCGACUGAGAGGCUCCACAGGAGCAGUACGGUCACGGUGCCCCCGGUGGAGACUGGUGUCUCUACAGCCUCACAGGGCUACUGUGGGCCUCCUCUCCUACCACCUCCUAUCUCCAGGGGUCCCCUGGUCCUACAUUAGCCCCCCCCACACACACACACAUAAAGUAGGUGAGAAACGACCACUAGUUCACGUGUUGCUCACUCUGGGUUUUAAGAUUAAAACAACUAUUAUCAUCUGAACAAACGCGCAGCAACAGAGAAAUCCACCAGAAAGCAAAUUUUAUUUCAAUUUAGAAAAACGUCUAAAACGAGUUAGAAAAGAGCGAACCGAUCCGUCUGUCGGCUCAUCAGGUCUCGCUAUCGUCGCUCAUCGGACACGCCCCCGGGCGACGACUCCGGGAGACGGCUCUGGGGUACGCGCUACAGACCCGGAGAUGGCGGACGUGUUCUCAGUGCAGCUUCGGACGUACGUACGCCGUUACGUCAGAGCUCGGUACGGACGGACGGACACCGUGCCGCGAGAGUCGCACGCCUCCACAGAGCCAGCCCCCGGGACACCCCCCCGUCAGACCUCCUGCUGUCCAACCAUGCUCCGUAUCUCUCCUCCCCCUCCUCCAGCUCCUCCUCCUCCUCCAGCUCCUCCUCCUCCUCCUCCAGCUUCUCCUCCUCCUCCUCCCC
ensembl:lncRNA